AGCUUCUCUACCUGCUUCUGUAGAACGUCUUGUAAUGGGAGCUAAAACGGGCUCGGUCCCAGUGGGCAGCCUGCGCCAGCGCUGCUCCGGAUGGUUUUCCCUGUUCCGAAUGCAGAUCCCUCUCGCGCCCGUGAAUCGAGAUUUUCAGGGCUCUUUCUUCAGCGAAGACUUCGUUCCGCAGAGUGAAUGCUCCUCGGAGAGGUGGCAGCAAGGAUGGCUGGAGCAGGGAGCGUUUUGCAAGGGGUGGAUGGUUCCCCUCUCCUCCCACUSCUGUGUYGGACCGAAGGCCUUUUCCAUCUCCRCCUGUGACUGCUUUUACAUCAGAUCUUCGAAGAGUGGGAAAUUUCCAGGGGCUGAAGUCUCAUCGCACUACUUCAGAAAGAAUUUGGGUCAUCUGAGCCCACCUAACAUUUCUUCUAUGCAUUGCUGUAGUCUUCAUCUUCAGGUGCUUUAAUUCUGCCCAGAUGGAUGAGAAUAGAUGAAUGUCUUCAUCCUGCAGACCAAAGGAAGUAGUAAUCCACUUCAUCUGUCRCGAUCUCCCAUUGGUAAGCCCUUGUAAUGUUAUACCCUAUAUACUCUUGCCUACAACUAGUCUUGCUGUCUGAAUCUGCUGUGAAAUCUCAUCCUCUAUCAGAUCAGAUUAAUGGGCUUGCAUCUUAUGUUUAAAUACAGCCCCCACAUAUGCUGUACUCCAAACCAAUAAUGUCUCGAGGCAAUAAAAUGAAUUGCUAGCAGAAAUGCUUUCCCUUG
ensembl:lncRNA